UUUCUAUACAAACAAACAGAGGUGAGGUUGAAACGAGCCUCAACUAUUGAUCGCUUGCAAUGAAGCCUCUAGUGUCUGGAGUUUGCAGCUGCAGAGACUAUUCAGUCUCUCUUGCUCACUCCUGCACCUUCUCCAAUUCAUUCCCAAACUCAAAUGUCAAAUCCCAACGGUCAUUUUUCUUCCCUUACAAUCUAACAUUUCAAACUUUAAAAACCACUUGCCCUGCUGCAAGGGUACCUCAAAGCGUUGUAACUUGCUCUGCUGAGAGAACUUCUCCGGCCAAGUCACUACGAUUGAUUCUUGACUCGCCUGGUAUCCACCAGGGCCCUGCUUGUUUCGAUGCUCUUAGUGCUAAGCUUGUGGAGAGAGCAGGAUUCAAUUACUGCUUCACUAGUGGAUUUUCAAUAUCAGCUGCUAGAUUGGCAUUGCCUGAUACUGGAUUUAUUUCCUAUGGGGAAAUGGUGGAUCAGGGGCAACUAAUCACUCAAGCUGUGUCAAUUCCUGUAAUUGGAGAUGGUGAUAAUGGCUAUGGAAAUGCCAUGAAUGUCAAAAGAACUGUCAAGGGAUAUAUAAAAGCUGGCUUUGCAGGAAUCAUUCUUGAAGAUCAGGUGUCUCCGAAAGCUUGUGGUCAUACACGUGGUAGGAAAGUGGUGUCCAGAGAGGAAGCAGUGAUGCGGAUAAAAGCAGCCGUUGAUGCUCGGAAAGAGACUGGCUUAGACAUCAUUAUUGUUGCACGAACUGAUUCUCGACAAGCAGUGUCCUUGGAUGAGUCACUUUGGAGGUCAAGAGCUUUUGCUGACGCUGGAGCAGAUGUUCUUUUUAUAGAUGCACUAGCUUCAAGAGAAGAAAUGAAGUCUUUCUGUGAAAUCUCUCCCCUAGUUCCAAAAAUGGCCAACAUGCUUGAAGGAGGGGGAAAAACUCCAAUACUUAAUCCAUUGGAACUCGAGGAAUUGGGAUAUAAACUUGUGGCUUACCCACUUUCCUUGAUCGGGGUAUCUAUACAAGCGAUGCAGGAUUCACUAACUGCCAUUAAAGGAGGUCGGAUUCCUCCUCCUGGAACCAUGCCAACUUUUGAAGAAAUAAAGGAAAUCUUGGGUUUCAACACUUAUUAUGAAGAAGAGAAGCGGUAUGCUACCAGCACAGGCCAGAUGCUUAGGCCAGGAGGUUAUUCAUCAGCAAGCAGUAAUGUAUAUGAUAUACAACGGAGAAUUCCGGAUGAUACAGAGCAGAGAAAUCAAAGUCCUCAAGAUCCUGUUGUUGAAGUGAUAACUCCUGAUGUAUACAAUAACUAUGGUGCAGAUGGUUCAAGGGAUCCUUUUUCUAGGAUCUGGUCUCGGACAUUGAGAAUUAAGAUAACUGGAAGAGAUGGAUUUGAAAAACUUGAUGUUAGGAUUCCUGCUGGGUUUUUGGAAGGUAUCACAAAUAUUGUUCCAGCUUUGGGUGGGGUGAACAUCAAAGAGCUAUUGGAUGAUGCAGCUGGGGAAGUAGGUGGCAAGUUGUUGUUAGAUUUUAAUGAUACCAUUGGUGAUAGAAUUCAAGUAUUUUUAGAAUAAAUCUUUUUCCCAAGACAACAGAAAAAGCAUAGAGCGGUGUGAACAUCAAAGAGCUCUUAGAUGAUGCAGUUGGGAAGUAGGAGACGAGUUUUUCUGGGAUUUUAAUGAUUCCAUUGCUGACAAAAUUCAAGUGUUUCUAGAAUAAUUUUUUUCCCCAAGCAAUGGAAAAGAUCAAUCUUGUGAGGAACCAACUCUGGAGCUAGUUUCCACGUGCUCUGAAGGGAAGCAGUUGACAGAUGAUAAGCUGAUUCUUAAAGUGGUAGCAAAUAAAAGGUAUAAUUCGUGGGUUUUGAAGACUACAAUGGAAAAAGUCUGGAAUCCGGAAGGUCUAUUUAUUUUUAUCUUUGAAAAUAAGGAGGCGAGGACUUUUAUUCUAGAAAAUGGUUACUAGACAAAGCCAUUUAUGAGAUUGAUUUCUCUACAAAUGCUUAUUGGAUUUAGAUAUAUGAGCUCCCCCCAAAUCUUUGGAACGCAGCAUAUGCUGAAGCCAUUGGAAGUUUAUUCAAGGGAUUCUUUCUGCUGGAUUGAGCAUCUGAAGCAAAGGAGGGUUGGGCUAUCUAUAUGAGAAUUAAGGUCUGGAUUGAGGUAAGUAAACCUUUAUUAACUGACCUUUUCAUUCUAUAAAGUUCAUUUGAGAAGAUUUGAGUUAAAA